rnacentral:rRNA from 1 species
UACGUAGGGUGCAAGCGUUAUCCGGAAUUAUUGGGCGUAAAGAGCUCGUAGGCGGUUUGUCGCGUCUGCUGUGAAAACCCGAGGCUCAACCUCGGGCCUGCAGUGGGUACGGGCAGACUAGAGUGCGGUAGGGGAGAUUGGAAUUCCUGGUGUAGCGGUGGAAUGCGCAGAUAUCAGGAGGAAUACCGAUGGCGAAGGCAGAUCUCUGGGCCGUAACUGACGCUGAGGAGCGAAAGCGUGGGGAGCGAACAGG